GAGUUUGAUCCUGGCUCAGAACGAACGCUGGCGGCAUGCCUAACACAUGCAAGUCGAACGAAGGCUUCGGCCUUAGUGGCGCACGGGUGCGUAACGCGUGGGAAUCUGCCCUUGGGUACGGAAUAACAGUGAGAAAUUACUGCUAAUACCGUAUGAUGACGUAAGUCCAAAGAUUUAUCGCCCAAGGAUGAGCCCGCGUAGGAUUAGCUAGUUGGUAAGGUAAAGGCUCACCAAGGCGACGAUCCUUAGCUGGUCUGAGAGGAUGAUCAGCCACACUGGGACUGAGACACGGCCCAGACUCCUACGGGAGGCAGCAGUAGGGAAUCUUGCGCAAUGGGCGAAAGCCUGACGCAGCCAUGCCGCGUGAAUGAUGAAGGUCUUAGGAUUGUAAAAUUCUUUCACCGGGGAAGAUAAUGACGGUACCCGGAGAAGAAGCCCCGGCUAACUUCGUGCCAGCAGCCGCGGU
rnacentral:rRNA from 1 species